rnacentral:rRNA from 1 species
UACAGGGGGGGCAAGCGUUGUUCGGAAUUACUGGGCGUAAAGGGUUCGUAGGUGGCCACUUAAGUCAGACGUGAAAUCCCUCAGCUUAACUGGGGAACUGCGUCUGAUACUGAGUGGCUUGAGUGCAGGAGAGGAAUGCGGAAUUCCAGGUGUAGCGGUGAAAUGCGUAGAUAUCUGGAGGAAUACCGGUGGCGAAGGCGGCAUCCUGGACCAUUACUGACGCUGAGGCGCGAAAGCUAGGGGAGCAAACGGG